UACGGGGGGGGCAAGCGUUGUUCGGAAUUACUGGGCGUAAAGGGCUCGUAGGUGGCCAACUAAGUCAGACGUGAAAUCCCACAGCUUAACUGUGGAACUGCUUGGUAUACUGCCAGUCUUGAGCCAGCUAGGGGCUACCGGAACAAAUGGUGGAGCGGUGAAAUGCGUAGAUAUCAUUUGGAACGCCAAUGGUGAAAACAGGUAGCUGGGGCUGUGCUGACGCUGAGACACGAAAGCCAGGGGAGCAAACGGG
rnacentral:rRNA from 1 species